GGACUAUAGCCUGCUAGACUCCUCUUUCCAUGGAAUUCUCCAGGCAAGAAUACUGGAAUACCAGCCACAUAAGAAGCCGGUGUAAGAGAAAAGGCACUCUCAAGUUGCAACUCUGAUACAGCACCAGUGUGGCAUAGCACUUAAGGCAUGGGUUACCAAACUGCUGGGUUGAAAUCCAAGUCCUCCAAUUACUUGCUGUGUGACCUUGGGAAGACCCCAUAAGCCACGGAGCAACUAAGCCCAUGUGCCACAACUAUUAAGCCUGUGCUCUAGAGCCUGGGAGCCACAGCUACUGAGCCCACGUGCCCGAGAGCCUGUGCUCUGCAACAGGAGAAGCCACCACAGUGAGAAGCCCCUGCGCCACAACUGAAGAGUAGCCCCUGCUUGCUGCAAUGAGAAAAGCCUGUGCAGCAACGAAGACCCAGCACAGCCAAAAAUAAAUAGACCAAUG
ensembl:lncRNA